UGUAUGUGUGUGUGUGCAUAUCUUGUGAUUGCCCAAAAUCAUCUUCCUGAGGAUAUAUUUGAAUAUAGAUAAAGUGAAUGCUGGAGUAUUGACAUGCUAAAAGUAUUGUUUUUCCAUAAGAUAGGUAGUAAUUUUAUCCAGUGAUAGUUUAUUUUUACUUUGGCCCAAUUGUGACUUUCUUCCAGAUAGAAUGUAUAAUUUUUCUUUAUAUUUUACCUGAAGAUUUGGAGCAUGAACUGUUUUGAAGUAUGUGUUUGGACAGUUAAUUGUGUAGCAAGCCAACUGUUUGGGGUACUUCUGUAACUCUGUUGGCUGCUGCUGAAUUUCUCAGUGUCUUUCCCAUAAGUAAGACAUAGCCAUCCAUGUACCUAUGUCCAGUAUAGUUUUAUGACAAACAUGCAUUAAGAUUCAUCCAAGCAAGCUAGGUAGAUGGCUUAUAGUAAAUAUGAGCCUCGUUACAUAGAGGACACAGGUUAGCUGAAGGGGACAUAUAUAAACAAGUAAAGUAACAACCCAGGCAUGAUAGGCUGAACAUGGGUUCUUCUCAGGUGUGGAGUCAUGAAUGUGAUGCUGAAGCCUAUGAGGUGUCAGGCAGGAAUUUAUGCCAGAGUUUGAAUCAAAUAUGAUGAUAUUCAGUCAGGGGAAGCUUGAACAUGCCCUAUGUGUUAACCUAGAAUGGCAACAGAGGGCGGGGCAAGAAAGAGCAGACCAGAGAAUAGUACACUGGCUCAGACUCCAUCCAGCACUGGGUGCAUUUGGGGAGCUAUGAGGAGAAUUCAACUACUGAGAAGAGUGAAGCCAUCAGCUAGGACCUGGGUGCACAGCCUGUCAUGAGGCCUGAUGGUGGCUACACACAGGACUCGUCUGCAGUGCCCACCCUGAAAAUAGGCCUCUGUGUUGUGACUAAGACAUUUAGGUCUCCUUUUCAAAUCAACCUCAUUUGAUUGAUUGAUGGAUGUACCCUACAAUCAUGUCCACAGGCCAAUCUGAUGGAGGAAGUUUUUCAACUGAGUGUCCCUCUUCUCAGAUGUUUCUAUGAAGAGGAGCAAGGGUGACAAGUGUUGACCUUGACACUGCUGCACAGACCUGCCUUUGCUGACACUGACUGAUUGCUGCAGCUCCUCAGGAUCAGUGUUGCUAAGGAGAUCCCGUGCAAAGACAGAGACUCACUCCUGAAGGAAACAGAUUGCUUAGAGCUGAAGUGUUUGAAACGACAGAAUCAAGAGCACGUGGACUUUGCCUCGUCCCCUCCAGUAGCCAAAUCUGCCUCCACCCUACUUUGGCAAGUGCCUCAAUUGCAGAAGCUGAUCAUCCAUGUCUGUAGAGUCAGAAACAGAUCAGCUAAGCCCCAGCAGGACUUGGUCCUCUUUCUUAAAUCAGAGACACAGCGUUUUUGAGGUUGACUUUUCACCAGCCCUUGGAGCCUCUGUAGCUGGGGUACUCUUUCCACUUUGCUCUGUGUUGACUAAUCCUUGAAAGCAAUCAAAAUCAAUUUUAUAAAAGUGUGAAAUGAGUUCCCCCUGCUGUCUGUGUGAGGGUGGCUUCAGAACUCUGAGCUGAGUAGAUUUGGCCAGCAACCCGAAGUAUUUUGUUCAACCUAUGAGCUGACCUCAUAUGCUGUUUCUGAAACACCGUUAAGAUGCAAUUGCUAAAGGACAGAAGUGUGAUGAUGCCCUCUCCUAGCCACUGUCACUUACACACAUCUAUGAAACACUCCUUUGUUUUCUUAAUAGUGAUGUCACUUAUUUGAUAACAUUUUAUAUUUUGUUAUUUAAUAAAGGAACAUAAGCUGUAUACCAUA